rnacentral:rRNA from 1 species
GAUGAACGCUAGCGGCAGGCUUAACACAUGCAAGUCGAGGGGUAUAGUUCUUCGGAGCUAGAGACCGGCGCACGGGUGCGUAACGCGUAUGCAAUCUACCUUUUGCAGAGGGAUAGCCCAGAGAAAUUUGGAUUAAUACCUCAUGGUAUGUGAGAAUGGCAUCAUUUUCACAUUAAAGUCACAACGGCAAAAGAUGAGCAUGCGUCCCAUUAGCUAGUUGGUAAGGUAACGGCUUACCAAGGCAACGAUGGGUAGGGGUCCUGAGAGGGAGAUCCCCCACACUGGUACUGAGACACGGACCAGACUCCUACGGGAGGCAGCAGUGAGGAAUAUUGGACAAUGGGCGCAAGCCUGAUCCAGCCAUGCCGCGUGCAGGAUGACGGUCCUAUGGAUUGUAAACUGCUUUUGUACAGGAAGAAACACUGGUUCGUGAACCAGCUUGACGGUACUGUAAGAAUAAGGAUCGGCUAACUCCGUGCCAGCAGCCGCAGUAAAAC